GGGAGGCCAAACUGCGAGUCGAGCGAGCUUGCCUAGAUGAUUUUAGUGCUUGCACUAAAUGAAACUAGAUACAAGCGAGCGGCGGACGGGUGAGUAACACGUGGGUAACCUGCCCAAGAGACUGGGAUAACACCUGGAAACAGAUGCUAAUACCGGAUAACAACACUAGACGCAUGUCUAGAGUUUGAAAGAUGGUUCUGCUAUCACUCUUGGAUGGACCUGCGGUGCAUUAGCUAGUUGGUAAGGUAACGGCUUACCAAGGCAAUGAUGCGUAGCCGAGUUGAGAGACUGAUCGGCCACAUUGGGACUGAGACACGGCCCAAACUCCUACGGGAGGCAGCAGUAGGGAAUCUUCCACAAUGGACGAAAGUCUGAUGGAGCAACGCCGCGUGAGUGAAGAAGGGUUUCGGCUCGUAAAGCUCUGUUGGUAGUGAAGAAAGAUAGAGGUAGUAACUGGCCUUUAUUUGACGGUAAUUACUUAGAAAGUCACGGCUAACUACGUGCCAGCAGCCGCGGUAAUACGUAGGUGGCAAGCGUUGUCCGGAUUUAUUGGGCGUAAAGCGAGUGCAGGCGGUUCAAUAAGUCUGAUGUGAAAGCCUUCGGCUCAACCGGAGAAUUGCAUCAGAAACUGUUGAACUUGAGUGCAGAAGAGGAGAGUGGAACUCCAUGUGUAGCGGUGGAAUGCGUAGAUAUAUGGAAGGACACCAGUGGCGAAGGCGGCUCUCUGGUCUGCAACUGACGCUGAGGCUC
rnacentral:rRNA from 1 species